rnacentral:tRNA from 1 species
GUCUCCGUGGCUCAGUUAUUAACGCGUCGGCCUCUUACGCGGAAGGUCCGGGUUCGAUUCCCGGUCGAGUCA